UACGGGGGGAGCGAGCGUUGUCCGGAUUUAUUGGGCGUAAAGAGCGUGUAGGCGGCCUGACAGGUCUGCUGUGAAAACUCGAGGCUCAACCUCGAGAUGUCGGCGGAAACCGUCUGGCUAGAGUCCGGAAGAGGAGAGUGGAAUUCCUGGUGUAGCGGUGAAAUGCGCAGAUAUCAGGAAGAACACCUAUGGCGAAGGCAGCUCUCUGGGACGGUACUGACGCUGAGACGCGAAAGCGUGGGGAGCGAACAGG
rnacentral:rRNA from 1 species